AGAGUUUGAUCCUGGCUCAGAACGAACACUGGCGGCGUGGAUUAGGCAUGCAAGUCGAGCGGGAUCCUGGUGCUUCAAUUCUUCGGAAAAGAAGUAUCGGGUGAGAGCGGCGAACGGGUGAGUAAUGUAUGGGUAAUUUGCCUUAAAGCCCGGGAUAGCUACUCGAAAGGGUAGGUAAUACCGGAUGUGCUCGGGUGCCGCAUGGCACCUUAUGUGAAGGCGGGGAUCUUCGGACCUGCCACUUUAAGAUGAGCCCAUAUCCUAUCAGCUAGUUGGUAAGGUAACGGCUUACCAAGGCUUACGGGUAGCUGGUCUGAGAGGACGACCAGCCACACUGGGACUGAGACACGGCCCAGACUCCUACGGGAGGCAGCAGUGGGGAAUAUUGGACAAUGGGGGAAACCCUGAUCCAGCAAUGCCGUGUGUGUGAAGAAGGCCUGCGGGUUGUAAAGCACUUUAAGUUGGGAAGAAAAGCAAUUGGUUAAUACCCAAUUGUAUUGACGUUACCGACAGAAUAAGCACCGGCUAACUCUGUGCCAGCAGCCGCGGUAAUACAGAGGGUGCGAGCGUUAAUCGGAAUUACUGGGCGUAAAGGGUGCGUAGGCGGUCUUUUAAGUCGGAUGUGAAAUCCCUGGGCUUAACCUAGGAAUUGCAUACGAUACUGCAAGACUUGAGUACAGUAGAGGAUAGUGGAAUUCCACGUGUAGCGGUGAAAUGCGUAGAUAUGUGGAGGAACACCAGUGGCGAAGGCGGCUAUCUGGACUGAUACUGACGCUGAGGCACGAAAGCGUGGGGAGCAAACAGGAUUAGAUACCCUGGUAGUCCACGCCCUAAACGAUGGGAACUAGCUGUUGGGAGAAAUUAAUCUCUUAGUAGCGAAGCUAACGCGUUAAGUUCCCCGCCUGGGGAGUACGGUCGCAAGAUUAAAACUCAAAUGAAUUGACGGGGGCCCGCACAAGCGGUGGAGCAUGUGGUUUAAUUCGAUGCAACGCGAAGAACCUUACCUGGUCUUGACAUCCUGCGAAUCCUGUAGAAAUAUGGGAGUGCCUUCGGGAACGCAGAGACAGGUGCUGCAUGGCUGUCGUCAGCUCGUGUCGUGAGAUGUUGGGUUAAGUCCCGCAACGAGCGCAACCCCUAUCCUUAGUUGCCAGCGGGUAAUGCCGGGAACUCUAAGGAGACUGCAGCUGACAAAGCUGAGGAAGGCGGGGAUGACGUCAAGUCAUCAUGGCCCUUACGACCAGGGCUACACACGUGCUACAAUGGUAGAUACAGAGGGAUGCCAAACUGCGAAGUGGAGCAAAUCUCAGAAAAUCUAUCGUAGUCCGGAUUGGAGUCUGCAACUCGACUCCAUGAAGUCGGGAUCGCUAGUAAUCGCGAAUCAGAACGUCGCGGUGAAUACGUUCCCGGGCCUUGUACACACCGCCCGUCACACCAUGGGAGUUGGUUGUACCAGAAGUAGAUAGCCUAACCGAAAGGAGGGCGUUUACCACGGUAUGGUCAAUGACUGGGGUGAAGUCGUAACAAGGUAACC
rnacentral:rRNA from 1 species